rnacentral:ncRNA from 1 species
GUCUUUUUUAUUCAUAAAUUGCCAAGGUGGAGUACGGUAAGGAUAGAAGGAAUUUCAUAUGGAGCGGUGAAAUGCGUAGAGAUUGAAAAGAACACCAACGGUGAAAGCACUCUACUAGGCUAACAUUAAGAGACAAAAACUAGAGGAACGAAUGGGAUUAGAUACCCCAGUAGUCAUAACCAUUAACGAUAGUUACUGAGUGUUGUGCGUAUCAACCCGUGUAGUGUUGUAGCUAACACGUUUUU